UACGUAGGGUGCAAGCGUUGUCCGGAAUUAUUGGGCGUAAAGAGCUCGUAGGCGGUCUGUCACGUCGGCUGUGAAAUCCCGAGGCUCAACCUCGGGUCUGCAGUCGAUACGGGCAAACUAGAGUAUUGCAGGGGAGACUGGAAUUCCUGGUGUAGCGGUGAAAUGCGCAGAUAUCAGGAGGAACACCAAUGGCGAAGGCAGAUCUCUGGGCCGUAACUGACGCUGAGGAGCGAAAGCAUGGGGGAGCGAACAGG
rnacentral:rRNA from 1 species